UAAAAAAAUUUUUUUUUAUGAUAAUCUACAAAAAUUUUCUUCGACACCGUCAAAUAUUUAUUUUAAAAAUCCUGAUAUACAUAUUAUUUGUAUUACAUACAUUGACAAUGAACUGGCGUCAGUUUGACGUAUGUUGCUUAUUGAUGAAUAUUGCAAAAGAAAAUUUAUUUUUCUACUUCUAAUAUUAAUUUUAUUUUAUAUUUUUCCUAUUUAAGAGCACAAUUUCAGAUUUACAGAAACAACUUGUGGAGAAAAAUGUGAACUUACUAACUAACUAAUCCUUUAGAAAUACCCCUAAAUUCAAGUUCCGGUGUGUUUUCUCACGGGGCCGCCGGGGCUUGCGUCACAGGGAGUCUUCUGGCCGAUGCUCGCCGUGUGCAGAUGUCUUCUUGGUCAGCAGCGGGAGUUAUGUAUCUUCCUUCCUUCAGGGAGUGGUCCGAGGGAUUUUAGAUAGUUGGUUGCUAAGUUGGUAGUUUUAGGGUAAAUAAUUGGAACAAUGAUGACUUCGCUGUUUGAGCUGUCGUACAAGACUGCCAAAAUAUAUUCUUCUGCGCAGACCAAGUCGCCUUCGCUAUCGAGUUGUACAUUGAUUCUUAUAUACUAAUACAUAAAUGCUUGUACCGAAAUACAAAAAGAAAUAAAUAAAUGUUUACAAAGAAUCCAGUCCAAGUGGCUGCUCGU